rnacentral:tRNA from 1 species
AAGUAAGAAACAAAUUAUUUGUAAUCAGUUUCGACCUGAUAGUUAGAUAUAAAAAUUAUCCUUAUUUA